CCUGGAUAUGUAUAUAUCUUGUCACAGCUAAAGUUAAGCCCUGUGACACAGAACUGGAUCAAUGUCCGUAAACUGCUUUAAUUUAGUAACGCCAGUAUAUUAGGGUGACCUUUAAAAUGGAAAACAUGUCAGAGUUAAUCUGGCUUUUGUUAUCUUUUAUCUGAAGACACAACAGGCCUCUAAUGCCUUUCAGCUAGAUGAAGGAGUAAGGGAGAGGAAGGACUGUUCAGAAGAGUAAAGCAAGAGAUGUUGCAAUCAAAAAAAAGCUCUCACGUUGGAAGAAGUAUCCAGAUAUGGAUAAAGAUUGAAAUCCAAAAAAUAUCACAACAUUACGAUGGAAGAGAAAACCAACUUCACGCAAAAUGUUCAUCAGACAUUGUUAAUAUUUUAAGGAUGCCUGAGUUCCUAUUGCCAAAGCAGAUCAUCUUCGCCCAGCUCAAGGAAGGCAUUCACAUAAAAGGAGGACAAAAGGAAGAAUUUCAAAGACUCGCUGAAGGCUUCCUCAAAAAAUGCAUAAAUGUAUGGGAGACCAUCAUUCAGAAGAAACCAACUUGGAGGGAACACCAAUGGAAAUUCCAUAUACCAGGAAUGGAUUUCACAGAGCAGACUCCCACCAACUUUUGUAGAUGCACCACAGAGAGCAUUCUAUCUGGAUGCAUCACAGCUUUGUAUGGCAACUGCUCAGCCAGGCCCGUAAGAAACUACAGAGAAUUGUGAACACAGUCCAAUCCAAGCCAACCUUCCAACCAUGGACUCCAGCUACAUUUCUCGUUACCUCGGAAAAGCAGUUAACAUCAUCAAAGACCUCUCCCACCCCAGUUAUAAUUACUUCCAACUUCGUCAAUUCGGUAGAAGAUACAAGAGCUUAAAUGCACGUACCAACAGAUUGAAGAACAGCUUCUUCCCCACUGUUAUUAGACUUCUGUAUGGACCUCUCAAAUUUCACAUUUAAUGUUGAUGUUGCUCUUUGUGCACCUUCUCUGCAGUCGGAACAUUAUAUACCUCACUUUGUUCUAUCACUCUAUGAUCUUUGUGUGGUAUGAUCUGUCUGUACUGUACACAAAACAAAACUUUUCACUGUACAUGUGACAAAUUAAAUCAAAGAACUUCAAUAUAUGGACAAAGGCCGCAAGACAGCAACCUUCACAUCGUCCUACAGUCAGAGUAAUUUUUUUAAAUCUGCAAACUAAUAAUAUUAUGAAAGAGACUGCACUCUGACCACUAGGCAACCAGUAAAAACCCACAGGAAAACUAAAAGUCCAAAAACUUCCAAUUAAACUUUAUUACCUUGUGUGAAAAGUCUCAUACCUUGAAAGAAUAUGUUGGCCAUACAGAAGAUGCCACAUAGAUUCACUUAAACUAUAUCCAGAUUAAAAGGAUUAAAUUAUAGGUCGCAGAAUCCACACUUGCAUUAUUGUGAGUAGAGAAGAUUAAUGCGUAAAUUGAGGUGUUUAAAUCAUGAAAGGAAUUUCAGUGGUUAAAAGUCCCCAAAUGAAAUAUAUUACUUUGCACAAUCAUUUAGACACAGAGUUCAUAGAAAAUUAAUUAAUCCAAUGGGCAAAUCCAUCCCAAUGAGACCAUAACCUUAAAAUUGGAAGUCGGGUGUUCAAAAUGGUACCAGAAAGCAGAGAGAAUAGUAAAACAUGGUAUCUUCUCCCCAAAGCACUAUUGAGGCUAUGCUAAUUUUAAAAAUUCAAAUCUAGUUAUAAAGAUGUUUGUGAUGCCACAUAAUUAUAGCUGCAAAACCAAAGUAGGUGGUUGAAGUUAAUAUACAGAUCAGGCAAAACAAGCUCAAGGGACUAAACCCUUGUCUCUAAUUUACUGUGUCAGCAGCAGAUUUAAGAUAAACUUUGAGUUAAAUGAAAUACAAUAAAUAACCACAACCACCAUUUGUAUUAAGUUCUAUGUAACAGGUAGAGGCGAUCUUGAAGUAUAAUUUACUGUUGGAUUCAUCAGUUUAUCUUUCAAUUACACUGAGUGUUUAAUUUAAGGAUUAAUCACAACUAUUCACUAAUCUGUUGCAUAACAAUUAAAUCUGAUGACAGUGGCAAAACUAAUUAGAUUCUCAACAGUGUCAGUUUUCACUCUUUAUGUUUCAAUGGAAACAUUCUAGUUAUUUAACCUAUCUAAGUAGAAUUGCUGCAUCAUUUUCAUAGAUUUCACAAUGCCUUAAGGCAUAUAUAUUUAUAGCUUUGGGGUAUGUCAGCAAGCCUGACCCACAGAAUGUGAUCUGAAUAGUAAUUUGGUCACAUUGUGGUGAAAAAUAUAUUUGGUUGAAAAUGAUACAUAAUGAUCAGAAUAUGAGGUAGAUUAGAUCUGUAAAAAGUAAAGUCUCUGAUGUCAGGUGUUGCUUACUUAUCUCAUGAAGGUUAUUAUUCUGCAACAGGAUCGCGAAUGACCUGGCUCAAAUGUUUGUUUGUGGUACAAAGCCUUGUGUAAGUUGUUGCUUCAGUGCACAGUCUCCUGUCUCUAAUAUAACCUUGCGUUUAUCUUCAUUCCUAUUCUUAGCAUGUUACAGUGUCGAAUAGGUAAGCCUAAAAUGUGAAUAUUUUCAUUACUGUUCCAUGUCUAUAAUGCACUGAUUGGCCCCUUUCAUGAUGAAGGUUCAUAAGUAUUCCACUGUAUAUAGAAUAACUGUAAUGUUGAUAAUGAACAAGUGGAAUUAUUCUGUUUUUACAAAAUCAAAUCCAAGAAUGCUAGAGUUGCCCUGAAAAAUUUCAAUGUCAUUUAUAAUUCAAACCAACAUCAAUAAUGUCAUCCUUUUGCAGUUUAAAUCUGCACAGUUUGUGGAAUGCAAGAUCACAAAGAAUCUCACAAAAGCUAGCUGGAUCUUGAUAACAUAGUGCAUAUCAUUUCAUAUUAAUCUGCACUACAGUAAACUGCAUCUGCUCCUGGGCCUGUAUUACAGCUGAUUAAACAAGCCAUAAAUUAAAUGACCUAUUUUGAAAGAACAAUGCAAAUUGGAGUGUAUGCUCAACUAAAAGCACAUUUAAUGUAGAAUUAUCUAUAUGAGGGGAACCUUUUGAAUUUGUACAAUAAUAUAAAAUAGUUGCCAAGUCAGCAUCCUAUUUUAUAUUUUGCUGGAUUUACACUUAAUUGAAUUCAACAUUGGGAGGAUUGUGAAAUGAGUUGCUGACUUGCUUUCACUUCAAGUCAAGUUAACGAUAAUGAUUUGUUAGGAGUGCAGUGGUCUUGUUUUGACUAUGAUGUGGAGGAGCUGGUGUUGC